rnacentral:rRNA from 1 species
UACGGAGGGUGCAAGCGUUAUCCGGAUUCACUGGGCUUAAAGGGUGCGUAGGCGGAUAGGUAAGUCCGUGGUGAAAUCCUGCAGCUUAACUGCAGAACUGCCGUGGAUACUAUCUAUCUUGAAUGUCGUGGAGGUUAGCGGAAUAUGUCAUGUAGCGGUGAAAUGCUUAGAUAUGACAUAGAACACCCAUUGCGAAGGCAGCUAACUACGCGAUAAUUGACGCUGAUGCACGAAAGCGUGGGGAUCAAACAGG